rnacentral:rRNA from 1 species
UACAUGGGGUGCAAACGUUGCUCGGAAUUACUGGGCGUAAAGGGCUCGUAGGCGGCCAACUAAGUCAGACGUGAAAUCCCUCGGCUUAACCGGGGAACUGCGUCUGAUACUGGAUGGCUUGAAUCCGGGAGAGGGAUGCGGAAUUCCAGGUGUAGCGGUGAAAUGCGUAGAUAUCUGGAGGAACACCGGUGGCGAAGGCGGCAUCCUGGACCGGCAUUGACGCUGAUGCGCGAAAGCCAGGGGAGCAAACGGGG